rnacentral:lncRNA from 1 species
AAUUCUUUGACUAUAGUUUUUUGUCGCAUUUUUAUUCGUCUGGGCCGUUUUACCAGUCGAUUUUUAUUUCAAAAUUUGAUCGAAACAUGUAUGUUUCCGAGAAGUUUAUUUCACACUAAUCUAUUUAAUGCAUUCGAUUUAUUUUUUCGGACGCUAUCACGCUCGACUUUUGUUAUUUUUAUCCGAUAAUUUUUAUUUAUUUUUAUCAAUUUAAUCAUAAAAAAUAUUUAUAAUUUUUGAGUAGUUUAAUUUAAUUUGUUUUGAGUUAUUAAAC